GCCACCUAAGCAAGUGACACUGGGGCGAUGCAAAUGACGAAGACGCCCUCUCUGUGUGUUCUGAAACCGUUGCUGAGGAUUUUUCACAACCUGCCCCAGAAACUGAAGCCUCUACCUCAAUGGGCUUCAGAAGGAAUGUGAACAAGGUGGAAACUGACUCAGUUAGGGCCCUUUGCAAAAGGAGCCUAGAAUU